AAGUCCCGUAACGAGCGCAACCCUUGUCCCUAGUUGCUACGCAAGGGCACUCUAGGGAGACUGCCGGUGACAAACCGGAGGAAGGUGGGAUGACGUCAAGUCCUCAUGGCCCUUAUGGGUAGGGCUUCACACGUCAUACAAUGGCCGGUACAGAGGGUUGCCAAGGCGCGAGCCGGAGCCAAUCCCCGUAAAAGCCGGUCGUAGUCCGGAUUGCAGUCUGCAACUCGACUGCAUGAAGUCGGAAUCGCUAGUAAUCGCGGAUCAGCAUGUCGCGGUGAAUACGUUCCCGGGUCUUGUACACACCGCCCGU
rnacentral:rRNA from 1 species